UGGAAUCAAUAAAGAUGGUUGUUGGCAGAUGAAAGUCGCGGGGUGGGACGAUGGCUCGCUAAACACUCAAUUCGCUUCACACAAAUCACCGCCUGCGUCCCGCCGACACGUGACGGCUACAUCCCGCGACAAACAAUUAAAAACUCGUGCAAUAACGGGCUGCCGGGAGAGGCAUGAUGGCGCCUGCACGAAUACACAUAUGGUGUGUUCUGACAGGCAGACAGGGCGGAUGUGAUUUGGACAGCGUGGAGACAAAAAGAAGAUGAAGGGAAAAAUAAAAGGGUAAAGUUCACUUCUCCUCCAGCUCCAGCCGACAGUCAACAUCACACAGACACUCGACAGUGGAGGUCAUCUCAGCGGGUCGCUGCUGCAGACAGGUUAACAAGCAGGCAGAUGAAUUCCCCUCUUUGAUUUUGAGCUCUCCUCCCGUUGCUGAGCAUCUCCGGGUCAGAGCAGAAUCCGGUGUGAUUCUGGAUGGAGCCUUAUAAAUCCCCUCCUGGCAGAAGUUACAAUGUUCGUUAGAGUAAGACCGCAUGCAAAAUUUUACUGCCGUAAUCGGUUUUUUCUUCUUUAUAACAUCACUGUAUCAAAUAACAAUGUGAAAACAAUAGAUAAAAAGGUUAAGCUUUCUUGUGAGUUUCAUUUUUUAUGUGUCAGGCUGCCACUUUACUAUUGCAGUUCCCUCUCACAGUGUUGUUUUCAGCCACAGCAGGCAGGUGAUCUGACUGUUCUUAUACAGUCUGCUACCAAACAGCAAACAGAAAAGGAGCCGGUGAACAUUUUAAAGAGCCAGCCGUUUCCCUCAGGAUGUUGGUGGAGACUAAAGGAGAGCGAAUGUUGGACCUAGAUCCGUCAGGUGGGUGCAAACUGGCCUCCGAAUGAACGAUAAUGUCGCUUCUUCACUGCUUGAGGUGUAACUGUUUGCUCACAAGUCCACAGUAGGAACUUGUAGACAAGAAGUACACAUCAUUUAGCUUCCUCUUCCCCCAAAGUGACUUGUUGCAGGUUUUUAAGUAAUUACAGGAUUUCAUAUUGCUGUCUCAUUUUUACUGCCCAUCGUUUCAACUAUAAUUGAAAUGAGUUGCUGAAACUCUCGAUGAACAUGAGUGAAGAGUUUUGUCUCAUGUAAUGUAUAACAGUGGAACCCUCAUACACCCAGAACUACUGAUGCUACUUAUACCAGUUCUUUAUACAAUGCUGUGUUGUAUAUCUAACAAAUCGUCAUCAUUUAGAAGCAGACAAUGAAUAACAAUGCAGCAAAAAGUACAAUAUUCCCCUUUGAAGGUUAGUAAAGUAAUAGAAAUACUCUCAGUGCCGAAUCUAGUUAGUUACUUCCCACCACUGCUGUCAGACAGACAAAAGCCCGUCUCCUUCACAUUCAGAUGCAAGAAACCUGAGAGGGAAAUAUUCAUAUAAAGUGUUCCCUCGUGACGCCGCAGCUCACUGGCUUGUAUCGCAUCCCGAGGAAUAAUCAAUUCAUGCACACCAGAAGCCUGCGUGAUUCAUUUUAAUAAGCUUUUGUCGUCGCCUCACACACUCACAAGCACACACGCUGGAGUCCCAACAAUCAAAUAGCAGGGAGCUCGAAGGGUCUUGUCAGCUUGAAGCUGCUGAUCACAGAAAAUAAAGGUCAACUUGAGCUUAAGAAUCAUCAACAUAAUUUCACAUACUUCAUCACGACACUUGUCUUAACUUCGAGCUUUAGCGGGAAAAACACAGAGGAACUGCUCAACAUUUGCAGAGGAGCCAGUGUGCACUUCAAAAAAAAAAA